GGGCUUGAGUUAAAGCAGUUCAUCACGCAACCUGUGAUAGAACCAGCUUCUCCCUUUCCAAGCUUCUAUCAAAGCCUUUUGUUGUUGAUUAGCUUCUUACCUAGUUAUGGCUGGUCUCCCUGACUGCAUUAACUACCCUGGACAGAGAGACCAAUUCAGGAGCUUUUUACUUCCCAGGCCUUCAACGUAUUGCAGUUCAUUGAUUCAGUCCCCAAAUGUUUAGGUGCCCCUGAGCCAGGCUCGGAUUUAGGAGUGAGACUGGUGGGCCUUCCAUCUCCAACCUCGCCAAGCUCUAGAUCAGGUGGAGAAGCAGACAGGGACACAGGCAGAGACAAAUCUGGUGGAUGAGGACUGUAAUGGGGGACUUAAAAGGGAGCUCAAAAAAAAAAAAACAAAAAAACGGAGCUCAGUGGAGGCAGGGGUGGAGGGGAGGGGGACUCAGAGAGAAUGCCUCACAGAGUUAUCCAGGCCACUGGCAGGAUGCAUACCCUGAGUCAGGCAGGGUCCAGGCAGAGGGAGCCUCAAGAGCCCUGGCAGCCAGAGAGUGCAAUGCCCACAGAAAGCUGUGAGUACCUCCAUGCUCCUGCACUGUGGCUCUUUGAGAGAUGCGGGAGGCGAGAGGUAUGGCUGGAAGGCCUGUAAUGGCUGGAUCUUCCAGAGUCUUGUAGAUCAGAGGAAGGAGGGGAGCUACGCACACGUUCUGAGCGGGAGAGUGACCCAGACAGAUUUGCUUUUUGUUAGAAGAAGCUUGCUCUGACUACAGGUAGUGUGGAAGAGAGAAGAUGGGAAACAGGGGUGAGGGGCCUGUUGUGGUGAUCCAGGCCAGAGAUGAUGCUAGUGGAACCACAGCACUGCAGGAAAACUGGAGUCCGAGAGGCAUUUGAGAGACAGAAUCAAGUGCACCUGGGGAUGAGUUAGGUUGGGACAUGUAUCUGAGGACUUAGAUUUCUGAUUCCUUCCUGAUCCCCAGCCAUAAAAUGGGUGGCAACCUGUAAUUCUCUCCAGUUUGUCCCAUAAUUUGAAAAACACAGUUAGCAGAUAGGAGAUGAAUGAUAAUAGCAGCUCCCAGUACUUUUAUGUAUCCCCCUGUACAGCCCGGGAAGUUGAGGCCUGGAGAGUUUAAAUUACUUGACUAGGGUCCUGACCCUGGAGCACAGGCACUAGACUGCUAAGCUGUGCUGCUCACAUUGGCGUAGGAGUGGGGGUUCUCACUAAUCCUGGCUGGACCUGCUCCACAGGGGAAAGGCCUGUGGCUAUCUGACCCCAGAAGGGGAUUUCAGAGGAGGGAGCCAGCCAAGGAUGUCCCAAGGCCUGGCUGACUUCUCAGCUGUGACCGUGAGUAACCCCAGGCCUCUCCAACAGGAAGCAGGGUGGGCCUGGCUGCCAGACUUAGCUCGGGUUGGGUAUUUAUCUCUCUGAGUCUCUGGGCUGGGAACCCAGGAAGUUACCCUUCUCUCGUUUCCCAGGUGGGUCCUGGUUAAGGGAGAGAGCUAGGUGCCAGGACAGGAUGCCGCAUUUGGGGCGAGACAAGCCUGAGUUAGGAUCCGGGUUCUGCUGCAUAUUGGUAGUAUGGCCUUGGUUCGAAACACCAAGGCUCAGGGACUCCAAACCGAGAGGGGGUUCAGUAUGGUCUGGCUAGGAUCGCUUGCCCUGGAGCCAACAGAACUGGGUCCAAAAUCUGGCUGACACAACACCGACCACCUGUGUCACACACACUUUGGGUAUAGUUUUGCAUGCAUAGGAAGGGAUCUUGAAGGAGACACUCUAAACUUUCCCAUCUCUGAGCCACAGUUUCUUCGUCUAUAAGUUAGGAAUAAGAAUAUCAACCUUUGGGACUUCCCUGGUGGUCCAGGGGUAAAGAAUCCACCUUCCAAUGCAGGGGACAGGGGUUCGAUCCCUGGUCAGGAAACUAAGAUCCCACAUGCCGUGGGGCAACUAAGCCCUGGUGCCACAACUACUGAGCUCGCGCUCCACAACUAGAACCUGCGUGCCGCAAACUACAGGGCCCAUGCGCUCUGGACACCACCUGCCACAACUAGAGAGAGAAUAAAAACCCGCACACCACAACUAGAGAGAAGUCCACGCCACAACUAGAGAGGAGCCGAGGAGCCCGCGCUGCAACGAAGACCCUGCGUGCUGCAACGAAGACCCGAUGCAGCCAAAAAAAUAAAGAAAAUAAAGAAAGAGAAUAAAUAAAUAUUAAAAAAAAAAAAAAAAAGAAUAUCAACCUUUCCAGAAGAGGCUGUGCCUGCAAAAGGCUCAGGCCUGGAGGGACAUGGGGAUCUGAGUGAGUAGUCAGCAGGGAGCUCCAGGCUGGCACUUCCUUACUUCUCCAGCCCCCUAAAUUCUCAAGCAUAGCCUGUCCUUCCUCCCUGAGGCCCUGACCGGACAUAUGAGGAAACCAGUACCUAAUAACAUAAUUCAGACAACUAAGAAGUGGAUUUCUUUAGAGAGAUACACAUUCCAUAGACAAAAUGCGGUCCAUCUCAAAAGAACUGGAAUGGCAGCUGAGCCACCCCGGCAGCUGACCAAGGGCGUAUCGAUUUGUGCUAGGCUCCUUGCGAAUAUCUGAGCCAGUCACACAUGAAGAUAAAGGCUCCAAAGAACUCACCCACGGUGAUCUGUCCUGCUUAAACCUCCCACGGCCAAGUCCACAAGUCUCCCCGUUGAUCAACCAACUCUGCCCUUUCCAACCCAAGCCUGACCAUCACUCGCGGAGAGUAGUCAUGGUUCAGAACCCGGGAUCUGGAGUCAGGCAGCCCGGGUUCCAGCCCAAGGAUUACUGAGUCAAAGGGUAUUUACAUAUUUACUGUUGAGAGAUGCUGCCAAACUGCCUUCCAAAAAGUUGGACCCAUUUAUACUCCCACCAGCAGUAUAAGACAGUGCCCGUUCCCAUACUUUCUCCAUCUUUACCAAUCUGUUUCAAAACAAAACACCCUCUACUACCAUGCUUGCAUUUCUUGCGCUAGCAUCUUUUCAUCUUCUUUUGGCAAAUUGAAUUUCUGUAAAUUGCCUGGCCAUAUCCUUUGUCCAUUUUUAAAAAUUUGAGUUGUCCUCUUUUUGUUAUUUAUUUGUAGUAGCUUAUUACAUAUUUGGAUAUCAACCUCUGUUAUAAAUGUGAAAGUAUGACUUCCACUUAAUCAGUGGUCACUGGACUUUGUUUAUGGUGUCUAUUUGCCUCC